UCCUACUAUGGCGUUUAUGAA
ensembl:piRNA 21ur-3749 ncRNA